UCAAGCUAAAAAGAGCGCAGGGUGGAUGCCUUGGCACUAAGAGCCGAUGAAAGACGUGAUAAGCUGCGAUAAGCUACGGGGAGGAGCACAUAUCCAUUGAUCCGUAGAUUUCUGAAUGGGGAAACCCGGCUGAGCAUACCUCAGUCACCGUGCACUGAAUCCAUAGGUGUACGGAGGGAACCCGGUGAACUGAAACAUCUAAGUAGCCGGAGGAAGAGAAAGAAAACUCGAUUUUCAAAGUAGCGGCGAGCGAAAUGGAAAGAGCCCAAACCGGAGUGCGUGCACUCCGGGGUUCGGACUGCAUUUAUGACUUCUGACUGUAGCGGAACGGUUCUGGAAAGACCGGCCAGAGAGGGUGAGAGCCCCGUAGGCGAAACGGAAAGAAGCAGAGCAGGAUCCAGAGUACCACGAGACACGAGAAACCUUGUGGGAAUGAGCGGGGACCACCCCGUAAGGCUAAAUACUCCUUAGUGACCGAUAGAGCAGAGUACUGUGAAGGAAAGGUGAAAAGGACCCCGGGAGGGGAGUGAAAGAGAACCUGAAACCCUGUGUUUACAAACUGUGGAAGUACCAUACGAGUACAACCGCGUACUUUUUGUAGAACGGUCCGGCGAGUUACGUUUACUGGCGAGGUUAAGCACUUAAGGUGCGGAGCCGAAGGGAUACCAAGUCUUAACAGGGCGUAAAGUCAGUGUACGUAGACCCGAAACCGGGUGAUCUACCCAUGUCCAGGCUGAAGUUGCCGUAAAAGGCAAUGGAGGGCCGAACGCACAUCCGUUGAAAAGGGUGGCGAUGAGGUGUGGGUAGGGGAGAAAUUCCAAUCGAACCCGGAGAUAGCUGGUUCUCCUCGAAAUAGCUUUAGGGCUAGCCUCGUGUUAACCUUGUGGAGGUAGAGCACUGAAUAUCCUAGGGGGCGUCAAAGUCUACCGAAGAUUAUCAAACUCCGAAUGCCAUAAAGGUGAUGCACGGGAGUCAGACUGCACGAGAUAAGUUGGGUGGUCAAAAGGGAAAGAGCCCAGACCUACAGCUAAGGUCCCAAAGUGCGUGUUAAGUGGAAAAGGAUGUGGGAUUUCGAAGACAACUAGGAUGUUGGCUCAGAAGCAGCCAUACAUUCAAAGAGUGCGUAAUAGCUCACUAGUCGAGAGGUCCUGCGCCGAAAAUGUCCGGGGCUAAAACACGACACCGAAGCUUAGGAAUGUAGUAAUACAUUGGUAGAGGAGCAUUGUUAGCGCAGCGAAGCUGUACCGAUAAGGAGCAGUGGAGUGCUAAGAAGAGAGAAUGCCGGAAUGAGUAGCGAGAGGAAGGUGAGAAUCCUUCCGGCCGAAUAUCCAAGGUUUCCAGAGUAAAGCUGAUCUGCUCUGGGUAAGUCGGGGCCUAAGGCGAGGUCGAAAGACGUAGUCGAUGGAUAACAGGUGGAGAUUCCUGUACUAUGUGUACCCAGAAAUGUGGGGACGCAUGUGGAGAGCACGAGCCGGGAAAGAGAAGACCGGUACAAGCGGGGUAGGAGUAAGGACAGCAAAUCUUCCUUACAAUCCGAAGACGUAAUGUGGACCGAACCAAAGUAGGGAAGCGUGUGAGCCAUGUGCCAAGAAAAGCCGCUAUUGUGAUACACAUACCCGUACCGUAAACCGACACAGGUGGAUGAGGAGAGAAUCCUAAGGCCGACGGAAGAAGCAUUGUUAAGGAACUCGGCAAAAUGACCCCGUAACUUCGGGAGAAGGGGUGCCCUGUGAAAGCAGGGCCGCAGAGAAUAGGCUCAAGCAACUGUUUAGCAAAAACACAGGUCUAUGCGAAACCGAAAGGUGAGGUAUAUGGGCUGACGCCUGCCCGGUGCUGGAAGGUUAAGAGGAGAAGUCAGGCAACGAAGCUUCGAAUUUAAGCCCCAGUAAACGGCGGCCGUAACUAUAACGGUCCUAAGGUAGCGAAAUUCCUUGUCGGGUAAGUUCCGACCC
rnacentral:rRNA from 1 species